rnacentral:rRNA from 1 species
AGUGAACGCUGGCGGCGUGCUUAACACAUGCAAGUCGAACGAGAACGGGUCUUAGCUUGCUAAGACUGUCAGCUAAGUGGCGGACGGGUGAGUAAUGUAUAGCUAAUGUGCCCCUUGGAGAGGGAUAACAGUUGGAAACGACUGCUAAUACCUCAUACUCCUUCUAUGUUAAUCAUAGUUGGGAAAUGUUUUUUCGCCAAGGGAUCGGGCUAUAUGGUAUCAGCUAGUUGGUGAGGUAAUGGCUCACCAAGGCAAUGACGCCUAGCUGGUCUGAGAGGAUGAUCAGCCACACUGGAACUGAGACACGGUCCAGACUCCUACGGGAGGCAGCAGUGGGGAAUAUUGCACAAUGGAGGAAACUCUGAUGCAGCAACGCCGCGUGGAGGAUGACGCAUUUCGGUGUGUAAACUCCUUUUAUAUAGGAAGAUAAUGACGGUACUAUAUGAAUAAGCACCGGCUAACUCCGUGCCAGCAGCCGCGGUAAUACGGAGGGUGUAAGCGUUACUCGGAAUCACUGGGCGUAAAGCGCGCGCAGGCGGCCUUUUAAGUUGGAUGUGAAAGCCUAUGGCUCAACCAUAGAACUGCAUCCAAAACUAUCAGGCUAGAGUGUGGGAGAGGAAGAUGGAAUUA